UACGUAGGGGGCGAGCGUUGUCCGGAGUUACUGGGCGUAAAGGGCACGCAGGCGGUCGUAUAAGUCUGUUCUGACAGCUCCUGGCUCAACCGGGAGAGGCGAACGGAAACUGUGCGACUUGAGGACUUCAGAGGGACACGGAAUUCCGGGUGGAGUGGUGAAAUGCGUAGAGAUCCGGAGGAACACCAAAGGCGAAGGCAGUGUCCUGGGAAGUACCUGACGCUCAGGUGCGAAAGCCAGGGGAGCGAACGGG
rnacentral:rRNA from 1 species